UCUGGUGGCCAUAGCGGAGGGGAAACACCUGUUCCCAUUCCGAACACAGUCCUUCGGGGUCCCCCGAGAAGCUUGCUUUUUGGGGUGACAGUUAAGCCCUCCAGCGCCGAUGGUACUCGCAAGGGGAGAGUAGGUCGCUGCCAGAC
rnacentral:rRNA from 1 species